rnacentral:rRNA from 1 species
UAGAUACCCUGGUAGUCCACGCUGUAAACGAUGGAUACUAGGUGUGGGGGGUGUCAACUCCCUCCGUGCCGAAGCUAACGCAUUAAGUAUCCCGCCUGGGGAGUACGGCCGCAAGGCUAAAACUCAAAGGAAUUGACGGGGGCCCGCACAAGCAGCGGAGCAUGUGGUUUAAUUCGACGCAACGCGAAGAACCUUACCUGGGCUUGACAUGUUCUUGAUCGGCGUGGAAACACGUCUUCCCUCACGGGCA